rnacentral:lncRNA from 1 species
AUCACAUGCGCGCGCGUUCCAAGAACGAGAGGACAAUGCAAAUCGCCAAGUCGCCAUGACUUCGAGCGUCGAAGCGACGACGAUCCAGUAGCUCGCUCCAUCUCCACGCCAGCCACAAACAUUGGCUGCCGGGAGCCCGAGACGACAGUGAGACAUGGCACCAGCUCGGCCAUUGCCGUUGCCACUUCGUCCACAGCCUCACGUACGCCUAUAUAAGCGGCGCCCCCAGCUCGCCCUGCUUCACUCGCACCACCACUCGAGCUGAGCUCAGAGCUAGCUACUAGCCUUCGCGCGCCAUGGCGAAGAACCACCGCAUUGUGGCCCUCCUGCUCGUCGCGGCGACGCUGGUCGCGCAGGCCGCGGCCUGCCCGUCCUGCCCGACGCCGAAGCCGCCACCGCCGCCGCCGACGCCCGUGCCGUGCCCGCCGCCGCCGUCGUCGACGCCGCCGACGCCGUCGACGCCGACGGGCAAGUGCCCCCUGAACACGCUGAAGCUGCUGGCGUGCGUGGACGCGCUCAACGGGCUCGUGCACGCCGUGGUCGGCGCCAAGGCCAGCGAGAAGUGCUGCCCGCUGCUGUCCGGCGUGGCCGACCUCGACGCCGCGCUCUGCCUCUGCACCACCAUCAAGGCCAAGGUGCUCAACGUCAACCUCGUGCUCCCCAUCGCCAUCGAGGUGCUCGUCAACGAGUGCCACAAGAACGUGCCCGCCAGCUUCCAGUGCCCGUGAUCAAGCUCACUG